UACGCUAGACUACUUUCCCCUCGCCUAGCCACCAUCGAGCAUCGUGAUCACAGCAACACAAUUUCUGUUUACAUAAAUUGCAACAAUGCCGGCGCAGAGUUUGUGCACGCCAUGGCCGAUGGAGUCUCUGUUGCAGAUAUCAUUUCACCUGUUUAUGUUCCUAAUGAAACUGUUUACUCUUUUUUCCCACUAAAUGGAGUAACAAACUGUCAGUGUAUCUCCGAGGCCAAGCCGUUGCUUGGGGUUCAAGUGACAGAGCUUGUGGAUGGAAUCUUCAUCGCUUGCACUAUCAAUCACUCCGUUGUUGACGGCACUUCCUUUUGGCAUUUCUUCAAUUCCUGGUCUGAAAUCUCACGGGGUUCUGAUUGUAUUUCAAAAGUUCCAGUUCUCGAACGUGGGUUUCUCUCUGAAUCAGAAUAUUUUCCCAUUCGCCUCCCUCUCUGGAGCAUUGAACCUUCCGGAACUCGCACUCCACCGCCUAAUUUGCAACAAAGGGUUUUCCACUUUACGAAGGAAAAAGUUGCAAAACUCAAAGCAAAAGCCAAUGCUGAGAUUGGUAGUACCAACAAAAUCUCCUCUCUCCAAGCAAUCCUUUCCCAUAUUUGGCGAUCUGUUACUCGUAAUCGAUCUCUUGAUCCUGAUGAAGAAGUUCAUUUCAUGUUAGGAAUGGGAGUUAGACAAAGAUUGCAACCACCACUGCCACCAGAAUAUUUUGGAAAUGCAGCUCAGGUACUGGGAGAGUUCGCAUCCAUGAAAGCGAGAGAUCAACUUGAGCAAGGGCUUGGAAAUGUGGCAUUGAAAAUGAACAAGUUCAUCGCUGCGUACACAGACGAAAAGAUAAAGAACUUCUUGGAGUCUUGGGGAAAAAACCCUGAGAUCCUAACAUGGGAUAGCCUGCCGACGAAGAAUAAUGCUUGCUUCGUAAGUAGCUCGCCGAGGUUCAAUUUCUACGGUAACGAUUUCGGGUGGGGAAGACCAAUUGCAGUAAGGAGUGGUCCAGCGAACAAGGCUGCUGAGGGGAAGAUCACCCUGUUUGCCGGAGUGGAAGAAGGGAGUGUCGACGUUGAAGCUUGCUUUUUGCCUGGGACACUGCAAGGUAUGGGAAAUGAUACAGAAUUCAUGCAAUUGGUAUCUUAAUUGUUAAAAAUCUUCCGUGUUCUGGGGCUUUGCUCAUUAACCAUUAUAUCAAUGAAAGCUUACUUUUAAAUACAUUUAGGAUUUCAAUUAAAAUAUAUCUAAUUUUGAUAUUUUUGAAAAAUAAAGCCAUGGUGAAAUAAUUGACAUAACAUCAAUAUUAUAUCAGUAGUUCAGUGAUUUUUUUUUUCUUUUUGGGUACUUGCACCUUGCUGAUAUAGACUUUGUAAAUUAUUUUGAAUGCUUAACAUAUUUCUUUUAAUGUGAUCAAUAAAAGUUUUAAAAGCAGUCUAACAAAUUAAUGAUAAAUAAAUUUGUUUCAUAUUAAAAAUAAUUCUCGAUGACUUGAUAAUCCUGUGAAGAAGUUCCUUUCGAACUAUCGAUAGGAGUUAGAAUAAGAUUGCAACCAUCACUGCCGCCUGAUGAAUAUUUCGGAAAUGCAAUUCUAUAAAGCGGGAGAUCAAAUUGAAUAUGCGGCACUGCGAAUGAGCAAUGUUAGUGAAACUGAUAAAAUGUGAAGAACAGAGGAAACGAGUACAUGCUGUAACUAGGGGUGGGCAUUUUACCCGACCCGACCCGACCCGAAAUUUAUCGGGUCGGGUCGGGAUCGAAACCUGAUCGGUUUGAAAUUUACAAACCCGAUCGGGUUGUGAUCGGUUCGGGUCAAACCCGACCCGAUCCGAAUACCCGAUCGGGUUCUUAAAAAAAAAAAAAAACGUACUGACCUGAAUUGACCUGAUUUCAACCGACCCGAACUGACCCGAAUUGACCCGAACUGACCCGAUUUCAACCGACCCAAAUUGACCCGAACUGACCCAAAUUGACCCGAAUUGACCCGAACUGACCCGAACUGACCCGAACUAACCCAAAUUGACCUGAACUCAAUCCUACCCAUUUUAAAUCCAACCCGAUCCAACCCGAACAUAGUUCGGGUCGGGUCAUUAAUUCGGGUUAUGUUCGGAUUGUUCCUUGUCUAACCCGAACAACCCGAAACCCGAUCGGGUUGACCCGAACCCGACCCGAACCCGAUUUUGCCCACCCCUAGCUGUAACUAUGUAUUUGACAGCAGCUGAAUAGCUCACUCAGCUGACGUGGCUUAGUUAGUUAUUUUGAUUUAAGCAUUCUUCACAUGUGUGUAACAAAUUGCCAACAAUUAGUAACAAGUUGCUUUCACUUGCUAUAUAUAUGUAUAAUCUGUACUCAUUCGAUUAAUGAGAAGUUUUUACAAGUUUCCAUUAUGAGUUUUUCAUUCAUUUUCCUUUUAACUUUCUCGCUUCCCAAACACAAAUACUUGAGUUUCUAUCAUGGUAUCAGAGCCAUCAAUGGUGUUGUAAAAAAUUUUAAUAUACUCGUAAGCGCACGAAUGUAGAAUAAAAUAAUGGUAAUAAGGUCAAACCCACAGGGAUUAUUAUAAAUUAAAAAGUCUAAUUUAAAUAAAUUAAUAUUAAUUCUAACAUAGUUGAACAAAUUGAGUUUCUAAUAAAAUUUAACCAAUUAAACUAAGAAAACAAUUAAAACAAAGGAGAAUUUAAUAAGACAAAAAUUACUAAGGUUUCAGAAUCCACCACUAAUCAACUAGUAAUUACCUAAUUAUUAAUUAAUCCCCAAUUUUAGAGUGACAACUCGAAAUCAAUUUAUAUCAUCUCAUGGAUAUAACAAUUAAGCCCAAAUAAAAUUAUUCUUGUGUUGGUUCUUUUUCUUCUUAAUAAUAUGAUAUCUAAGCAUCCCAUGUAAACAUAUUGAAUAACAAAGAGUCAAAGUUUUCCGAAGCACUCUGUGUAAACAAUUUAAUGAAAGACACAGAAUCAAAGAUAAUCAUGUAUAAACUUUAAAGACUCAAGCAUAAAUUUAAUCGGAUAUUAAUUGUAACAAUCAAUAAUACAUGACAGAAUUGAUGAAAAAAUUUUAAUGCCCUUUUUAUCCUUAAUCUUUAUUCCUUCCCAAUUUGAACUUCUUCAUGCCCUUUUUAUCCUUAAUCUUCAAUUAAUUUCCUAUUCAAUAAAAUAAUUCAAUUAAUUAAAAAUAACAAAUAAAAAUAACUAGUAAAUAUGUAAUUACGGGUAAAAUAUGUAUAUAAAUUAUGAUCAUCAAAUGGCAAGCAUGAUUCAAUCCAAUACAUCCUCCUCUCCUUCAAAUAAUUCCCUACCUCAUAUCAUUCCUGCACCUCCUCCCAUUGGUCAUCCUAUGAUGACCAGAUCCAAGAAUGGCAUAUUCAAGCCAAAGUCUUAUCUAUGUGCUCUUUUAGCCUAAUCAUUUGAACUUUCCUCUGUCUCUCAAGCUUUAUCUGAUCCAUUAUAGUUCAAAACCAUGCAAGAAGAAUUUCAAGCCUUACAAGCCAAUCACACAUGAGACUUGGUACUACCUACUGCUCCUGUUAAAGUGGUUGGUAACAAAUGAGUUUUUAGAAUAAAAUACAACCCUAAUGGGUCAAUACUAAAGUACAAAGCACGACUGGUUGCUAAAGACUUCCAUCAGAUACAUGGUCUUCAAUUUUACAAUUGUGGAGCUAUGCAGAUCAACUCUUUUACAUAUUCAGAUUGGGCUUGUGAUCGGGAUGAUAGAAAAUCAGUAGUUGGUUUUGCUGUUUAUCUAGGUGCCAAUCUGGUUUCAUGGUCAUCCACGAAACAAUUAGCUGUCUCAAGGUCCAGUACAAAAGCUGAGUACAGAGCUUUGGCUCAUGCUGCAUCAGAGGUCAUUUGGAUAUAGUUUUUACUUGCUGAGCUAAGAAUUCAACUAAGUACUACACCAAUUAUGUGGUGUGAUAACCAGGGAGCAAUUGCCUUAGCUUAUAAUUCAGUUUAUCAUGCUAAAACAAAGCAUGUUGAGCUGGACAUUCAUUUCAUCAAAGAUAGAGUGGGAUAAAAAGAAAUAGCUAUUUUUUUUGUGCAUAGUGAAGAUCAAACAACAAAUGUCUUAACUAAGGCUCUUACUUUCACUUAGUUCCAUUGCUUGCGCAGUAAAUAAAAUGUUUAUCCCAGAAACACCAGUUCCAGAGGGGAUAUAAGUAAAGAUGAUAAUUUGUGAAGAAUAAAAGAAUGGAGUAAUGUGAAAAGCAGAAACUCCAGCUUAAGAGGGGAUGUUAGUGAAACUGAUCCCUUGGAGUCCUGGAGACAAAACCUUGUGGUCUUAACAUGGGAAAGCUAGAAGACGAAAUCUUAUUGGUUUCCAAAUAGUUCGUCGAGGUUCAAUAGCAAUGAGAAGUGGUCUAGGGAAUAAAGCUUAUGGAAAUAUCACUUUGUUUACAGGAGUGGAAGAAGGUAAUAUCGACAUUGAAGCUUGCUUUUUACCGGAGACACAAUAGGGUAUGGGACAUGAUACAGAGUUCAUGCCAUCUACGUGUUAACGUCUUUGGUGAUCCUAAAAUAUUACUUUCUAAUAAUUCAUUUACACGUUAUCACGUGUAAAUGAAUGGUAUCAUAAUUAGUUAAAAGCACACAAAUGAUAAAAAGUGAAUUCAUUACUAUAACUAUGCUUUAUUUAGGCACCUCAUGCAAUAAAUUAUUUCAUCUCAAAACUCAAUUUAAUAAUUAAUCCCAUGAACAUCCAUUCGUUAGAGCAUGACAACAAAAUUUCUGUAUGGCAUCUGUGGCAGAGCAUAAUAGCUGUAGAGAAAUGGAAAUUGAAAGGAAGGAGCUGGUAGCUUAUAACUGUGAUUCAAGUUUUUGCUUUAGAAUCUUUCAGAAAAAAAAAGUUUUUGCUUUAGAAAUUUUUUGACUCGACCUAGUAAACUGGUCAAUACCUCACGAGCUCAUUAAACUAUCAAAUUUGGGGCCCAAUUUGAUGGGCCUAGUUGGUUGCAGUGUUGGGUCUAGUUAGUCUCAACAAAUACUGGUCGUAGCCUUGUAGGCAGUUCGCAUUAGAGAUUUAUGAUGAUUGUAAUGUGUGAAUGAGUAAUAGAAAGCUCUAUUUAUUGGCACAAGGAGUAACCUUUGUGCGGUUGUGCAGAUAAAAAGAGAAAACAUGUAGUGGGUAAUAUGAAAUUAACAGUAAUAUGUUGUUAUAAACACGAUUAGAAAACUCAUGAUUUAAGCCAUAAAAGCCUUCAACUCAACACCAAAGUAUUCAGGGAACUACACUCAUGGUUUGAAUAGAAAUGCACAACCAUGGUUCUAAUACCAAUGGCUAAAAUAAUUUUAAGCUUUACGGCAAUGAAUCCAUUCAACAUAUUUCAUAAGGGAGAAAAACUGCAUUUUAUCUUGGUUGGCCAUGAAAAAGACUUGCUGGUCAGCUUGUUUCUUGCCCGUUAAUUCAACCUUUUGUUCUUGGCUUCAAUCUCAACAGCAAAAUCAAGCUCCUCAUUCACUGCACACACACACAAUUAGGAGAAAGGAGAAAAAGAAAGACAGUGUAUAAUGAAACUGCAUUUUAAAGAAAUGUGUAGAAAACAAUCAAAACCUUUACAGAAUUCUUAGUAUUUUUGUCAACACAAUACUUCUUCUUUUAAAGACAUUUAUGCCAUAGUACAAAACCUUAGCCUACAAGAUUUGUACACACAAAAUGAAAAAAGAGCCAAGUAAUUCAUGAAUAAAAAACAUAGAGCAAAGAAGGGAUAAGUAACAUAAACACGCACACAAAAUUGGCACAGAUGAACAAAGAACGAGUUGCAAGCUCUUUAUUACCGAAAGAAACGAGCCCCAUAUCAUAUGAUCUCCCUACAAGCUUUACAACGAGCUAUCAUAUGCUUUCUAACUCUCAAAGAUUAACAAGUUACAGGCCUUAGAAAUUGCCCUCGUAAAUUCAUUUUAAAGCUAAAUUUUCUUACUAUUCAUGUGAUGAGCAUAUACUAUAUACAUAUUUUACCCUUAAUUAUAUAAUUACUAAUUAUUUUUAUUUGAUAUUUUUAAUUAAUUAAUUAUUUUGUUGAAUAAAAAAUUACGUGGAGAUUAUGAAUAAAAAAAGGGCAUAAAGGAGCUCAAUUUCGGAAGCAUUAAUUAAUUGAUUUUCGGAGCAAUUAGGCAUAUUUGCAUGUGAAGCCAAGCCAAGGAAACCAAAUUAAACAAAUUAAUUCAUCCAUGCACAUGAAGACAAAGAAGAUUAUGGCCAUCACGUGAGAAGCAAUCACCAUUAUUGUUAGCAUGUGCAUGUCAUUAAAAAAGGAAUUCUAAUGCAAUUCUAAGUGGUGAGCACGUGUGAGAGCAAAACAAAUUAAAAGGCCAAGCCUUUCGGCUUUAGAAUUGGAAUGGUUGGUGGCUCAUUUUGGAGAUUAUAAAAAGAAAUAUGAACUUUGGCUUUUAAGAGGCCAACCGCGAGAAGAGAAAAAAGAGAGCAACGUUAGGCAUUCGGCAGAGGAGAAAAUAGCGGCAGAAGCUCUUUAAUUCUUUUAUGGUUGGUUUUAUUUUAUUUGUUGCUCUCAAUUCAAGUAUGUCUAGCUAAUUUUCUUUUACUGAGGUUAAAGAUGAAACCUUAUUCAAUGAAAUAAUUAUCUUUUUAUUUAAUGAAUUCCUUACAUGCGUGUUUUAAUGUUUAUGUUUUUUUAUUUUACAUGAUUAGUUGGAUGUUAUUAAAUCUUUUCAUCAAUUCUGUCAAGCAUUAUUGAUUGUUAGGAUUAAUAUUCAAUUAAAUUUAUGCUUUGGUCUAUAAAGUUUUUAUAUUAUUAUCUUUGAUUCUAUAUCUUUCAUUAAAUUGUUUACAUAGAGUGCUUAGGUAAAUUUUGACAUUUUGUUAUUCAAUAUGUUUACAUAAAAUGCUUAGAUAUCAUACUAUUAAGCAGAAAAAGAACCUACAUUAGAUUUAAUUACUUGGGCUUAAUUGUUAUAUUCAUAAGAUGACAUAGAUUGAUUUCGAGUUGUCACUCUAAAAUUGGGGAUUAAUUAACAAUUAGAUAAUUACUAAUUGAAUAGUGGUGGAUUCUGAAACCUUGAUAAUUUUUGUCUUAUUAAAUUCUCUUUUAUUUUAAUUGCCUUAGUUUAAUUAGUUUAAUUUAUCAUUGCCUUAGUUUAAUUAGUUUAAUUUAUCUUAAAACUUAAUUUGCUCAACUAUUUUAUAAUUAAUAUUAAUUUUAGAUUUAAAUUAGACUUUUCAAUUUAUAACAAUCCAUGUAGGUUUGACCUCAUUACCACUAUUCUAUUUUUAAAUUCGUGUGCUUGCAAGUAUAUUAAAAUUUUUCACAAUAAGUUUUUGGCGUCGUUAUCAGGGAUUGUGCCAAAAAGUCAGUUUAAUCUAGAUUGAUUUGAUUUUUCCACUAGUUAUAAUUUAAGUUGUCUUUUAUUUUUAUUUUAUUUUAUUAAUAAAAAACACAAAAAAUAUUUAUUUGUCUUUAAAUUUAUUGUUUGGUUGUUUGAUUUGUUAUAUUUUAAAUUCCGUUUAUUUUUAUUAUUGUUGCUUUAUUUUCCUUUCUUUGUCUAGUUAGUUUAUGAGUGUUUGGGAACGCGAUUCAACAAAUCGUUUGGUAAGAAAAGAGUUUAAAAUUGAUAGUAGUCGAGUUAGUUCUUCAAAAGUGAUGGAUGACCCAAAGAGAAUAUUGUCAGUACUUCCACCAGUGCAAACAGAGAAAAUCCUUAGAGAAUAUUUUUCACCACUUGCAGCCAACCAACCAUCUUGUAUUAUGUUGCCACAGACUACAGCAACACACUUUGAAUUCAAGCCCUCUGUCAUUUAGCUUUUACCAUCUUUCCAUCAAAAUUUUAAUGAUCAGUCAAUUAGGUUUCGUAUGUUCCCUUUCUCAUUAAAAGACAAAGCGGAAGCUUGGUUGAAUUCACUUCCUGCUGGGUCUAUUACUACAUGGGAUGAAUUAAGUAAUAAGUUCUUUACCAAGUUUUUCCCUAUGUCUAAAACAAAUGUCAUUAGGAGAGAGAUAAAUGAUUUUUGUCAAAGAGAGGGUGAACAAUUUUAUGAGUGUUGUGAAAGAUUCAAUGAUUUACUCCUCAAGUGUCCCCAUCAUGGUUUUGAGAAAUGGAGACUUAUACAGUGCUUUUAUAAUGGUUUAACUAUAUCAAAUCAUCACAUGAUAGAGUCUAUGAAUGGUGGGAGAUUUUUUAAUUUACAUGAAGGGGCUGCAUGCGAUUUCUUUAUUUUACUUUUUGAGAAUUCUCAACAAUGAGAUUUUUCAAAUCAAAGAAAAAAAUGAUCUCAAGUUUCUAGGAAAGUCUAUAUGAAGUUAAUGAUGAUUUUGAUGUUAAGGUCAUUCUAGCUACACUUUCUAGGAAAAGUAGAUGCCUUAACUCUGAACCAAUCAAUGAAUCAUCACCCUAGUGUACCUAAUGAAGUUUGUACUCUUUGUUCUAACUUGUCUCAUACAGCACAUAAUUGUCCAUCAUUACCAGCCUAUCAAGAGGCUUAUUCUGAGCAGGUACAUGCCUUACAAUCAUAUGAGAAAACCCCCAAUAAUCCAUAUUCACCCACAUAUAAUCCUAAUUGGAGGAACCACCCUAAUUUUUCUUUGAAACAAAGUCAGCCUUUAUCAAACCAAGGAGGACAACAAUUCAACGUACCCAAUCAACAAUUUGUCCUUUCUAACCAAGUAUAUCCUCCUGCCCAACAGCCUAUGUCUCAAUUUGUUACACCUUAGCAAAGAAAAUGUUCUUUAGAUGAUACACUUUAAAGUUUCAUUCAGUUAACCCAACAAGCUUUUCAGUCAAACACUCAAGCUAUUCUAAAGCUUGAACAUCAAUUGGGUCAAUUAGCAACUGCUGUGGCUGAGAGAAAAAAAGGAAAAUUCCCAAGUCAACCAGUUCUUAAUCCUAAAUGAGUGCAUAAAGUUGGAUCAACUUCAAGCCAUCAGUAUAAAGAAGCAAAAUCUAUUAUGACCUUGAGAAAAUGAAAAAUAUUUGACAACAAGGUGGAGGUUCGAACAAGAAAGACAUCUGAACCUACUUCUGCAGAUCCAGUUCCAUCACAAGACUCAUCACUAAAUGAUCCAGAAGAAAGUAAUCCACCAGCUUACAUUCCUAAGGCUUAUUUUCCUUAAAGGUUAACAAAGGUAAAGAAAGAGACUUCAACAUGUGAGAUUAUGGAAAUCUUCAGGCAUGUAAGUAUAAGCAUCCCUUUACUCGAUGUUAUUAAGCAAGUUCCUCAUAUGCCAAGUUUUUGAAGGAUUUAUGAACUAAAAAAAGAAAUUUGCAUGUCACCAAAAAUGCAUUUUUAACUGAACAAACUAGCAAUUUACUUCAAUAUAAAAUGCCACCAAAAUUUAAGGAUCUAAGUUCCCCUACUAUCUCAUGUGUUAUAGGGAACCAAUUGUUUGAUAAAGCAUUAUUGGAUUUGGAUGCAAGUGUUAAUCUCUUGCCUUACUUUGUUUACAUGCAGCUUGGAUUACAUAAAUUAAAGUCAACUUCCAUUAUUUUGCAACAUGCAGAUAGGUUAAUGAAAAUACCUCAUGGUAUUAUAGAGGAUGUGUUGAUACAGAUUGAUAAAUUUUAUUAUUUUGUUGACUUUAUUGAUAUUGAUACUCAGCAUGUACAGGAUCCUAAGAAACACACCCCAGUUAUUUUAGGUCGUCCUUUCUUAGCUACAGUUGAUGCUCUUAUUAAUUGCAGGAAUGGAAACAUGCAAUUAUCUUUUGGUAACAUGACCAUGGAAUUAAAUAUUUUUAAUGUUCCUGAUAACUCUAGGAAAUGAGAGUUAUUACAUCAAUUCUAAACUUAAAUCAAGAUCACUUAGAGAACAAAUAAGGUGUUUUUAUUACAUUUUGGUUAUAUUUUGCAUAAACAUUCAUUUUAGUUAAGUUUUAAUAAGUUUUGUUUGAAUCAAAGUAAUUGGUGCUAAAAACAGGUGCAUAAUUGUAGCUUUUCAGAAAGUCUUAAUUCAUGAGAGGAUGGUGAGACAUUAGAUGAGCAAGAGGAGGAAAGAAGAUAGCCGCAAAAGAAGAAAAGCACAAUGGGGAAUAGUACAGUAUUGUAGCGGAUGUUAAAGCAACCAGUGCUAUAACAAUCUUGGAGCAAUGCUGGAGAAAAUUCAGGCGCGGGUCAGCUGCAGAAUCGCGAUUUGCAUGUUUCCUAAUUUAACUCAUGCACGCUUAUGGACUUUUAUUUUACUCUAGUUUGCAGUAUAAAAGAGAGGCGUGCACCACAUAGAGAGGCGACAAGAGGAAUUAUCAUAAAAAAUCAUUAGAGAGAAAAAGAGAAGAAGAUCAGAAUUGAAGAGUGUUGUUUCGGCAACAUUGAGGAAUCUGGUAGAAUUAUUCGAAUUUGUCUUUCACUGUGCUCAACUGAUAUUUAUCUUCCUCCUUUGAUUGUUUUAAUGUAUCCCGUGAACAACAUAUUUUUGUUUGUUUUUCUUAUUCAGAAUAUGAACUAGAUUUGCUUGUAGUUGAGUGACAAACAAUCCAAUGGGUUCUUGACUGUUCUUAUGUGUUGUUAUGUCAUUGCUGUAGUAUUAUACUCUAAUAGUUAUUAUUAAUAUAACUGUUAUUUCGGUUGACCACCCAUUUAAUAGUUCCAGUUAAGAUAGAGCAGUAAAAGUGCAUGUCUUAGCGGACAUUAUUAGAAUAUUACUUGAUCUUAAGUUAAGUUUCCUAGAUUAAGUUAUCUUGAAUCCCAUAAGGGCAAUGACAUAACAACACAUAAGUGCUCACCUUGUAGGGUGGAGAGAUAAAAAUGGAUCAUAAAGCCAUAUCAUGAGUAGAUUAGCAACUGGUCAUUGCUAGUGUAUUUAAGGGUAUGAGAGUUCCAAUAUGCGACAGCUGAGGAUGCAGAUUAAUUCCGCCCAGUGCUGCAGCACUUGCCGUAACAAUUGGAGUCCACUUGAUGAAAAACAGUCAGCCCAUAAGGAGAGUUUGAUCAUUCAACUACCAUGUUCUUACUUGAAUCUUAGACACAUUCAGUUUAGUUUAUUUCAUUGUGGUUUUGUUUAUUUUAUUCUCUCACAAUAAUUAAUUACGAUAGAACACAUUUUACGUUUGUUAACUUCGGAUUUGAAUUAGUUUGCACUAUUGUGAUUGCUACAAUAUUUUUGGUAACAUCAAUCCCUGUGGAGACGAUCUUGAAUACUCAUCACUUUAUUACUUGUUGUGUACACUUGCACAUUAACAAUAAUAGCAUUUGAUUAUAAAAUCAACCAAUAAGUUUUUGGCGCCGUUGCUGGGGGUUGAUUAUUUAUUUUUGAAGUGUGAAGUAAAUCUUGAUAGCACCAAAUUUGAUUUAAUUCAUUCUAUUUAUUGGCAGAUCAAUACUUGCAUGCGCAAAGACAGAUCUGUGAUAUUUCAGUUCGAUCCUGAGAUUGAAAUGACUGUUAGGAGAUUGCGAAGAGAACAAAGGAAGUCAAAAACUAUUUCAAGCAUGAAUAAUUUACAGGAUGAGGGAAAUUGAACCCUGACGGGCCCUUAUAACCAGUUAACAUUCAAGAAGAGCAGAAUGAACAUGCUAACGAGAGACAACCAGGCAAUAAUAAUAUUAUUUACAUGGCUAAUGACAGAGACAGAGCUAUUAGAGAUUAUGCUGUGUUAACUCCUCAAGUUGUACACCCUGAGAUAAUCAGACCUGAAGUAGAAGCUGUAAAUUUUGAGUUGAAGCCAGUGAUGUUUCAAAUGUUGCAAACAGUUGGUCAAUUAAAUAGAUUACCAAAUGAAGAUCCUCAUCUCCAUCUUAAGUUGUUCUUGGAAGUGAGUGAUGCUUUCAAGAUUGCUGGAGCAACACAAGACGCCUUAAAGCUGAGACUUUUUCCUUAUUUCUUAAGAGAUCGAGCAAGAGCAUGAUUCGUUACCAUCUGAUUCCAUCACUACAUGAAAUGAGUUGGCUGAUAAAUUCCUAAUGAAAUAUUUUCCACUGACAAAAAAUGCAAAGUUGCGGAAUGAGAUAACUUCUUUUCAUCAACUUGAAGAUGAAAGUUUGUACGAGGCUUUGGAAAGAUUCAAAGAACUGCUCAGAAGGUGUCCUCAUCAUGGCAUUCCUUGUUGCAUUCAAUUGGAAACUUUCUACAGUAGGUUGAAUCCAAGUACAAGGUUAAUGGUGGAUGCUUCAGCAGAUGGAGCCCUGUUAUCCAAAUCUUACACUGAAGCUUAUGAAAUUCUGGAGAGAAUUGCCAAUAAUAAUUAUCAGUGGCCAUCAACCAGGCAACCAGCAGUAAGAGGAUCAGUAGGGGUACAUAACAUAGAUGCAAUUACAACCUUAUCAGCACAAGUAACCUCAUUGACUAACAUGGUAAAGGCCAUGUUCUCUGCUCCAACAGUAGUGAAGCAAGUUGCAGAACUUUCUUGUGUAUACUGUGGUGAAGGACAUGACUUUGAUAAUUGUCAUGGAAAUCCAGCAUCAGUAACUAUGUGGGUAAUUUCAAUCGACAGCCUCAGAACAACCUAUAUUCAAAUACUUACAACCCUGGAUGGAAACAACACCCAAAUUUCUCAUGGAGCAGUCAGAAUCGAAAUGCUCCAGCAGUAAAUGGACAAAAUAUGAACAAUCAACCAUCUGGAUUUCAUCAGCAGAGUCAGGGGAAAAAACAUAGCAAUCAGGAUCCAAUCAUUUCACUGGAAGCAUUGAUUAAGGAGUACAUUACAAAGAAUGAAGCAAUUGUGCAGAGUCAAGCCGUAUCCUUGAGGAACCUGAAAAAUCAAAUGGGACAACUUGCCAUAGCAAUGAGUAGCAGGACUCAAGGAAGUUUCCCUAGCAACACAGAAGACCCUAGGAGAGAGGGUAAAGAACACUGCAAAGCAAUUAAUUUGAGAUCUGGAAAAAAUGUUAAUAUCCUAAUUGAUGUGAUUAACAAGGGUAAGAAAGUUAAUUCCUCACAAAAACCACCUCAAGAUGGAAGCAUGUUACAACAACCCAACCAUCAAAACACUAGUUACAUGGGCCAAGCUACAGCAACUGCAGAGGGAGUUCAAUCAGAACAUGUUGAAAAAGAAGUUGCAACACCAGUAGCCACGGCCUACACCAAGCCAAACAAACAGAGUUUGGUACCUCCUAAAGCUACCCAGCAGUUUAGACAUCCACCACCUUUCCCACAGAGAUUCCAGAAGCAAAAAUAAGACAAACAGUUCAGUAAAUUCCUGGAAGUGCUGAAGCAAUUACACAUAAAUAUACCUUUUGUGGAAGCCUUGGAGCAAAUGCCAAAUUAUGUGAAAUUUCUAAAAGACAUCUUGGCACGAAAGAGAAUGCUGGGAGAGUUUGAAACUGUUGCUUUAACACAGGAAAGCAGUCAUAUGCUCCAAAGUAAGAUUCCUACAAAAGUGAAAGAUCCAGGAAGUUUUACAAUAUCAUGCUCUAUAGGAACUAGGUAUACUGACAGAGCACUUUGUGAUUUGGGAGCUAGUAUUAAUUUAAUGCCAUUACCUGUAUUUAAGCAGCUGGGAGUAGGGGAAUACAGACCAACAACAGUCACUCUGCAAUUAGCUGACAGAUCUCAUGCAUACCCUGAAGGAAAAAUUGAGGAUGUACUGGUGAAGGUGGACAAAUUCAUCUUCCCAGUAGACUUCAUUGUACUAGACUUCGAAGCUGAUAAAGAGGUGCCCAUUAUACUUGGAAGACAUUUUCUAGCAAUUGGAAAGACUUUGAUAGAUGUGCAGAAAUGAGAGCUCACCAUGAGAGUAAAUGAUCAGCAAGUCACAUUUAAUGUACUAGAGGCUAUGAGAAGUCCUGAUGAAGUAGAAGAUUACAAUUUCCUAAGUGUUGUGGAUUUUGUUGUAACAGACAGAAUGGACAGAUGCUGCAGUAAUGAAAUCAACAAAGUCACCACCUUUGAGAAUGUAGAAGAGGAAGAUGUUGCAGAAAAUCAGAUAGAUUGGAUGAAAGAAAAGAAAUCUGAUAGGCACAACAGGUUUAUUGAGCAUCUGAAUCUUUCAGACAGGAAAGUAAAAAUAACUUUACCAUAUAUUGAAUCACCUCCUAGUCUUGAAUUAAAAUUGUUAUCUUCACAUUUGAAGUAUGUUUAUCUUAGUCAAAACAACACACUCCCUGUGAUCAUUUCUUUUACUUUGGAUACAGGUUGAGAACAGAGUUUAGUAGAUUUGUUGGGAAAAUACAGUAGAGCAAUUGAAUGAACCAUGGAAGACAUCAAGGGGAUAAGCCUAUCAAUAUGCAUGCAUAAAAUCCUGUUAGAAGAUUGCUACAGCAAUUCGGUGGAGCACCAGAGAAGGUUGAACCCUAUUAUGAAAGAAGUGGUGAAGAAGGAAACCAUCAAAUGGUUAGAUGCUGGACUCAUAUACCCAAUAUCAGACAAUUCGUGGGCGAGCCCAGUUCAAUAUGUUCCAAAGAAGGGAGAGAUAACUGUGAUAGCUAAUGGGAGGGAUAACUGUGAUAGCUGAUAAGAGAGAUGAACUUAUUUCUACAAGGACAGUGACUGGAUGGAGAGUAUGUAUGGAUUACAGGAAGCUUAAUAAAGCCACAAAGAAAGACCACUUCCCACUCUCAUUCAUAGAUCAGAUGUUGGACAGACUUGUUGGAAAACAAUACUAUUGUUUCCUAGAUGGGUAUUCAGGCUACAACCAGAUUGCUAUAGCUCCAGAAGAUAAGGAAAAGACUACAUUUACUUGUCCUUAUGGAACAUUUGCCUUCAGAAGAAUGCUCUUUGGGUUGUGCAAUGCUCCAGCAACUUUUCAGAGAUGCAUGAUGUCUAUUUUUUCUGAUAUGGUAGAACAAACUUUAUAAGUUUUCAUGGAUGACUUUUCAAUUUUUGGAGUGACAUACAAUGAUUGUUUACACAACUUGGAAGAAGUUCUUAAAAGAUGUGAGAUGACUAACUUAGUACUUAAUUGGGAAAAAUGUUAUUUCAUUGGGCAAGAAGAAAUAAUGUUGGGUCAUAAGGUGUCCAAGAAAGCCAUUGAGGUAGACAAAGCCAGGAUAAAGGUAAUAAAUAAACUGCCACCCGCCACUUCAAUAAAGGGUAUAAGGAGUUUUUUGGGCCAUACUGGAUUUUAUAGAAGAUUCAUUAAGGAUUUUUCUAAGGUAGCUAAACCAUUAUGCUCAUUGCUGGAACAUGACAAGCCCUUUCACUUUGACAAAGAUUGUCAUCAAGCAUUUGGAGAAUUAAAGAAAGCUCUGAUCACUGCUCCAGUAGUUAUAUCUUUAGACUGGAUGUUACCAUUUGAAUUGAUGUGUGAUGCUAGUGAUCAUUCUGUUGGAGCAGUAUUAGGGCAAAAAAAGGAUAAGGUUUUUCACUCCAUAUACUAUGCAAGUAAAACUCUUACUCAAACUCAAAUCAAUUACACCACUACAGAGAAAGAGUUGCUAGUAGUAGUAUUUGUUUUUGACAAAUUCAGGGCCUACUUGGUGGGUACUAAAGUGACUGUAUAUACAAACCAUGCAGCCAUCAAAUACUUAAUUUCAAAGAAUGAUGCCAAGCCAAGAUUAAUCAGAUGGAUCUUAUUGCUUCAAGAAUUUGAUCUGAAAAUUAAAGAUAGAAAAGGGACUGAGAAUCAAGUAGCAGACCACCUGUCACGGCUGGAAGCAAAUACAAGUACAUUGACAAGAAAUGACAUCACUGAAACUUUUCCUGAUGAACAGAUGUUGGUAGUACAUCAAGCACAGAUGCUGCAGUCAGGAUCUCCAUGGUAUACAUAUUUUGCUAACUACUUGGAAGUGGAUUGCUACCACCUGAGCUGAAGUUCCAAGAGAAAAAGAAAUUUCUUCAUGAUGUAAGAAGUUAUCAGUGGGAUGACCCACAUUUAUAUAAGCUGUGCUCAGAUCAAGUAAUACGAAGAUGUGCUGCAGAAGGAGAGAUUCCCCACAUACUGGAGUCAUGCCAUGCUGCAGCAUAUGGAGGACAUUUUGGUGGUCACAGAACAGCUGCUAAAGUUUUGCAAUCAGGUUAUUACUAGCCUACCAUUUUUAAAGAUGCUUAUGAAUUUGUUAAAUAUUGUGACAGGUGUCAAAGGACAGGGAACAUAACUAGAAGACAUGAAAUGCCAUUGACCAAUAUUCUAGAAGUGGAAGUUUUUUAUGUAUAGGGAAUAGAUUUUAUGGGACCUUUUCCACCAUCCUUUGGGAACUUGUAUAUCCUUGUUGCUGUGGAUUAUGUCUCCAAGUGGGUAGAGGCUGCAGUAUUACCUACCAAUGAUGCUAAAGCAGUGGUGGUUUUUCUUCAGAAAAAUAUUUUUUCCAGGUUUGGCACUCCUAGAGCAAUUAUUAGUGAUGAGAGUACUCAUUUUUACAACAAAGUCUUUGCUGCAGCUAUGGUAAAAUAUGGAGUCAGACACAAGGUAGCAACAACAUAUCACCCACAGUCCAAUGGUUAGGCUGAAGUGUCCAACAGAGAAAUUAAAAAGAUCUUAGAAAAAAUGGUGAACCCAACAAGGAAGGAUUGGUCUUUGCAAUUACAUGACUCUCUAUGGACCUACAGAACAACAAAAAAACUCCACUUGGCAUGUCUCCUUACCGAAUUGUUUAUGGGAAGGCUUGUCAUUUGCCACUAGAGCUAGAGCAUAACGCACAUUGGGCACUGAAGAAAUUAAAUUGGGACAUUCAUGCUGCAGCAGAGCAAAGAAAGCUUCAACUUUGUGAGCUUGAUGAAUUACGGCUAUUUUCAUAUGAAAAUGCUAGAAUCUAUAAAGAAAGGACAAACCACUGGCACGACAAGCAUAUUCAACACAGACAGUUCAGCCCUGGUCAACUAGUGCUGCUCCGCAAUACAAGACUAAGAUUAUUUUCAGGAAAGCUAAAAUCAUGAUGGUUUGGAAUUUUUAGGCUGUUAAAAUGUUAUCCUCAUGGAGCUGUUGAUCUUUUAGAUGAACAAACAGGUCACAAAUUUAAAGUUAAUGGACACAGGGUUAAGCAUUACAUACACCCAGCAACAGAUUGUUCAAAGGAGGUUUUACUCCUUAAAGAACCCAGCUAUUGAGCAGUGAAAGAAGGUCAGGCUGAAGGACCUUAAAUCAAGCGCUCCAUGAGAGGCAACCCAUUGUGGAGAUAGCCACUUCAAACCAAGUUUGAUCAUCUUUGGUUUUGUUGACGGUUCUCCCUUUCUUCCAUUUUAUUUAAUUUUGUUCUUUAAUUUAAGUUACUUAGUUUUAUCUUUUCACAUUAUUGCAUUUUUUUUAUAUUGCUAUCAUUUGAUCUCUUUAUUUUUAAUUAUAUUUUUAGAAUCGAUUUUAGUUUUUGUGGUAAGUAUGAGUGGCAUUAGAUUUUCAUUUUAACCAGUGGGGUUGUAUGGUGACAGAGUGCAGAGGCAAGCCACGUGUCAAAGAGCAUUGGAGGGACGUAUGUAAUCGUUGCUAGAGCAAGCUGCAACACCUAAUAUUACCAUUACAGUAAAUUAAAAAUUAGAGCCUCUCACUUACCGUUGGAGAUAAAUCAUGAUAGAUGGCGGCAUGGAUUUGGAUAGCAAUUGCGAAGAAAUCUCCGAAAUUAAUGCAUUAAUUUCCCUGGCCUAUGUUUUAGGGAUAUACAUAUUAAAUUCAAAAUAUUUUCUUCCCUUAUUUAUCUGUAGUUACCAGAUUUAUCUUCACUUAAAGUCCACUAUAAAAGGGAGUCACUGUGCGUAGUGAUCUACGGCACUAUUCCCCAUCUCCUUCGCAAAUACAACUCUCAUAAUUCUUAACCUCUUCUUCUCAUUUUACUCUCAGAUUGUUACUGCUAUAGCAAUGCCAAGGUAUAAGAAAAUAGCCAGCCGCCUCAAAGAUCCUUCACGCUUCCAGAGUUACCACGCCGAAGAAAAAUAUGAAGAAUUCGUAAGAUUCUGGAAGAAAAGUGGUUUCAAUUUCCAGAGCGACUCAUCGGAAUUGUGCAAACAAUACACAAUGCUGCAGUAAAGCGUGGAUGGUUGGACUUUUGCAACCACCCUCGAAAUCCUGUGCUACCAGUAGUAAAGGAAUUUUACGCCAAUUUGGUAAGCCCUGAUCAGCACAACAUUUGGGUAAGAAACACACUUGUUCCAUUAGACUCCCGCGUUAUAAAUGCUUUUUAUAAUUUACCUGCUGAAAUUAAUUGUGAGUAUGCCAAGUUGCUUGAUAAAUUGACCCCAAAGAAAUGGAACACCAUCUUCAUAACUCUUACAAUUGAAGGGGCAUCAUGGGCUAACGAGGAAGGGCGUGUAGUUAAUAGGAUAGAUUUGAAACUUAUUGUUAAGGUUGGGUGAAAUUUUUGAAAUCUAGGCUUAUGCCAACCACUCAUACUACUACGGUUUCACAAGAGAGGUUGGUCUUGUUAUAUGUCAUUGUUCGAGGGCUUCUCAUAGAUGUAGGUAGCAUCAUCGAAAAAGAAAUCAGGGAUUGUGCAGUUAAGAAUCAUAAAACUGAUGCUCUACUAUUUCCUUCGCUCAUCACCAGCAUUUGUGUAGUAUCCGGUGUUCGUCUUGACGUGAGAAAUGACCAUAUCAAGAAUGAUGGUGCCUUUACGACACGUACCAUUGAUAGAGUUGUUGGUGAGAGUACUGGAACAACAACUGAACCAACUACUGUAACAAGAGCAAGACGAGUUAUUGGUUUAGAAUAAACAAUUCAGGUGCUCAGCAAAGAUCAGCAGAGGGAAAAUGAUCGGUUUUGGAGCUAUUUACAGCACCUGAACAACCAACUACACUAAUUUGCUCUGUACAUGAAACACACUCACCGGAACUUCCUUGAUUCAUUGCUCCAGCAAUACAAUUUUGACACCAACACCACAGGUACUCCAGCAGCAGCCAGUGAAGAAGCCACUGCCACAGAUGAACUAGAAGAAGAAGCUGCAGCCGAACCACAAGCAGAGGUAGAAUCAGAAGAUGCUGAAACAUCUGAUCAACCUGAGGAAGAAGGUGACAAGUCUGCAACUGAUAGCUCACCCAUAGAGGCAGAGGACAACUCUGAGAAAGAACGUGAGGAACUUUCCAUUCCAACUCAUUCCAAAACCAGGAGGAAGAGGAAAACCCUGAAGAGGAACCUUCCAUUCCAGUCAUUGCGGGCAAGGACAAGGGCAAGGGCAAGGGCAAGGUAAAAAUAGCAACAUCUCCAGCCUCUGAAGAUGAAAUGGAGCAAAUCGAUGCAGAGCUAGCUGCUGCAGUAACCAGAGUUACGCCUACACCUGCAGAAGCCAAACAGCUACUUGAUAUCAUUGCUGCCAUCACAGCUGAAGGUCAGGCAGCUGAUGCCUCAACUCCAAUUCCUCCACAGAUGACUCCUAGCCAACCUGUUCGUACCAGUCCGUGAUAAUCCAGUAAAAGAAAAGGCAGUACGUAUAAAGGCACUGCUACAACAGCCUCGCCUCAACCAAAACGGACCAGGUCGGUGUCAACUACACAACCUACCCCAGCCGCAACUCCUCUCGCCAGCCCAGUGACGAAAAAGACAAAGACAUUGCCAGUCACUUCCCCACAAGUUUCACCAAAUGAUAAGCUGCGCAGUGCAUCCAAGAAACGCUGAUAUCAUCCCGUCAUUUGCAGCAGUCCCAACCACAUGGGAGUAUCCCUACCUUGCUAGUUAAUUUAUUGUUAAAAAAAAACUUUUCUUUCAGUUUUAUUGUUAAAGAAAAACUUUUAUUUCAGUAUGUUUUUCAAAUUUUGUGGUAUUUUCUAAUGUCUUCCAUGUCCUUGUCCACUUGUGUGCCUUUGUUAUGUAUGCUUGUGAGGACAUAGCAACUCUCAAGUUUAGGGGGGUUGUGUUUCCAAAUGUUUGUGUUUAUGUGUAUGCUUGUGUUGUGUGUUGUGUGAAGCUCUGUUAUCUAAUAUUUGUGUAUGGAUUUGAAAACCUAAUGAAGAUAUAUUGAGUGUUAUUCAAGAUUUAAGAGAAUGCCAAGUAGAGAUAGUUAUAGAUGGAGGUUGAAAUUAUGUCCUGACACUUAGACUUUGGUUGAAUUGUAUGAGAUUGCUAGAGCAAAGCCAAAAGAAUAGAAAAGAGCUUAAGUUUGGGGGGGAAAAUAAGUUGAUUGACUGUGAUAUCUAUGUAAUAAACUCUGUUUCAAUGGCUCAAGUUGCUGAAUAACCAGAUCUUAGUAUGUACCCCAUAUGCAGAAUUGUGUUCAAAGGUAGCAAGAGUUAUGAGCAAUGCUGUAGCAUUUAAAAAAAAAAAAGCCCUCUGUCUAAGGCAUUGAGUAGCCAGGUCUGUUCAUGAGCCCCAUGUUCAGCCUUGAAUAAAAAAUAUCUCUAGAUAAGACUAUAUUACAGAUAUUGCUACAGCAACUCUGAUCUGUGCAUGGUUUGAGUAAUUGGGUGUCAUCAUUACAAUUGAUUGACAUUCACAUGAAAAAUAAAUGUUGCAGUGAGGAAGUUGAAUACUCUCCAGUUUCUCAAUCUUAAAAUCAUCACAGUUCGAGUAUGUGAAAUUUAUGCUGCCCCAUAUAUGAUGAAGUUUUAUCACUGCUGAAAUUCAUGCAGUCUCUUAGUGAUGUUAUAGCAUCUCUAGAAUACAAUCAAAAUAGCACACACACACAAUGGACAGAAAGAAGCUUAAGUCUAGAACUGGUUUACUAUAGUCACGUUGCAUGAUUGGGAUUGUGAUCUGAAGGUGGAAGAAUCCUUGCAAAUUUGAUAAAAGAACUAAAGUUAUUUUGCAUGAUUGUUUGUGUGAAGUAUUAGUAUGUUGUCAUUACUUGAGGACAAGUAAUGGUUUAAGUUUAGGGGUGUGAUAACUCUAGGAAAUGAGAGUUAUUACAUCAAUUAUAGACUUAAAUCAAGAUUACUUAGAGAACAAAUAAGGUGUUUUUAUUACAUUUUGGUUAUAUUUUGCAUAAACAUUCAUUUUAGUUAAGUUUUAAUAAGUUUUGUUUGAAUCAAAGUAAUUGUUGCUAAAAACAGGUGCAUAAUUGUAGGUUUUUAGAAAGUCUUAAUUCAUGAGAGGAUGGUGAGACAGUGGAUGAGCAAGAGGAGGAAAGAAGAUAGCUGCAGAAGAAGUAAAGCACAAUCGGGAAUAGUGCAGUGUUGUAGCGGAUGUUAGAGCAACCAGUGCUAUAGCAAUCUGGGAGCAAUGCGGGAGAAAAUUUAGGCGCGGGUCAGCUGCAGAAUCGUGAUUUGCAUGUUUCCUAAUUUAACUCAUGCACGCCUAUGGACUUUUGUUUUAUCCUAGUUUGCAGUAUAAAAGAGAGGCGUUCACGACAUAGAGAGGCGGCAAGAGGAAUUAUCAUAAAAAUCAUUAAAGAGAAAAAGAGAAGAAGAUCAAAAUUGAAGAGUGCUGUUUCGGCAACAUUGAGGAAUCUGGCAGAAUUAUUCGAAUUUGUCUUUCACUGUGCUCAACUGAUAUUUAUCUUCUUCCUUUGAUUGUUUUAAUGUAUCCCGUGAACAACAUAUUUAUGUUUUUUUUUCUUAUUCAAAAUAUGAACUAUAUUUGCUUGUAGUUGAGUGACAAACAAUCCAAUGGGUUCUUCACUGUUCUUAUGUGUUUGAUUUUUCUACAAAUUUUUUUUCCAAGUCCAUUGAUUUUCUGCCUCUCUUACUAAUCAUGUUAGGCUUGGAAAUAUCCACUUUGGUAUUAUUAUUUUAUAAAUUUUAAUUAUUUUAAUUAUUUAUUAAUUAUAUUAAUUAUUAUUAUUAUUAUUGUUAUUAGUUUUAUUAUUUUAAUUAUUAUUAUUGAUUAAGACUAGAAAGUGUACAUUUGAUCAAAGUUAAAAUUAUCAUUUUCCACUUACAUUGUUGAUAAGACUAACAAUGGCAUCAAAUUUACAAAUCCCUAACACAUUUUAUGAAUUUUCUAUUUUUAUUGGUUUUAAAGUAUGAUUUUUGUGCUUUGUAGAUAAAUCCCUAAAUUCAUGAUGUUUGGAUCAAAAAAGUGAACGUGAAAUUUAGAUUCUGGAGACUCAAAAUCCUUUAGAAGAAUUGCUACCCUUUUGAUCCAACAUUAAUUAUAAACGGUUGAGAUCAUGCUAUGUGUCUAAGCUAAAGUGCACCUUAUUGUACUAGAUUUAACAGUUAUCAAUUUGAUAGAUCAACUAUCUUGACAAAUGAGCCUAUGGAAGAUCUCAUUUUGACCUCAUUUAUAGCCAUUGAUUAUAUUGAAUUCGACUAUUCAUAAUGGUUGCAAUUUUAAACCCUUGGAUUAUAUUAGAAAAAGUUUCCUCAUAAUCGAUUCCCUCUUUCUGAGUAAACCCUUUGGCUACUAAUCUUGCUUUAAAUGUUUCCACCCUUCCAUCUACUCCUCUUUUUCUCUUGUAGAUCCACUUGCACCCUAUAGGUUUUACCUCAUUUGGUGCCUCUACAAGUUCCCAGACUUUAUUGGAAUACAUAGAUUCUAUUUCUUGAUUCAUGGUCUUUUUCCAAAAUUCAACAUCUCUAUCUAUUAGAGCUUCGUUGUAACUAGUGGGAUCUUGUACAUGUUCAUCUGAGAUAGCCGUAUAGGUUUCUCCUAAAAGCAUGUAUCUUGCAGGUAACUUAGUUACCUUCCCACUACGACGAGGUUCUAAAAGUGAUGGUUGUUCAGGGUUAAUCCUGUGUUGAUCAUCUGGUUGUUGCUGUUCUUCCUGUUCUGUAACAGGCGUUGAAAGCUAAGCAUCAACCUGAUCACCUGACAGUUCUUCGAGUAUUACCUUACUCUUAGGUUUGAAGUUAUUCAUAUAGUCUUCCUCGAGGGAAGUGAAAUGUGUGCUCACGAUCACUUUCCUAUCUUGAGGACUAUAAAAUAAACCUCCCAUUGUUCCUUUGGGAUACCCCACAAACAUACAAACCUCAGAACGUGAAUCCAUUUUGUCUGCCUUUGGUUUCAGCACAUGUGCUGGUGAUCCCCAAAUAUGGACAUGUCGUAAACUUGGUUUGCGACCUGACCAUAAUUCUAUUGGGGUUUUAGGCACUGACUUAGAUGGAACUAAGUUCAAAAGGUAAACUACAGUUUCCAGUGCUAGUCCCCAAAAAGAGAUUGGUAAUGACGAAUAACUAAGCAUAGAUCUCACCAUAUCCAAAAGAGUUCUAUUUCUUCUUUCAGCUACCUCAUUUUGUUGUGGUGUUCCCGGGGCAGUCAACUGAGAUAUAAUCCCAUUUUCAACUAGAUACUCUUUGAAAUCUCCUGAGAGAAAUUCACCACCUCGAUCAGAUCGAAGUUUCUUUAUGUUCUUAUCUAAUUGCUUUUCUGUCUCAGCCCUAUACUCUUUGAAUUUCUCAAGAGCUUCAGACUUAUGACGCAUCAGAUAAACAUAACCGUAUCUUGAGUAAUCAUCAGUGAAAGUGAUGAAAUACUCAUAACCUCCUCGAGCUUGUACAUUGAUUGGUCCACAUACAUCUGUAUGUACCAAUUCAAGUGGUACUGUUGCACGUACUCCUUUAGCCGAGAAUGACCUUUUGGUCAUUUUCCCUUCUAAACAGGAUUCACAGAGUGGCAAUGAUUCAUUUUCUAAUGGACCCAAGAGCCCAUCUUUGAUCAUUCUCUGUAUUCUAUUUUGGUUUAUAUGACCCAAGCGUAAAUGCCAGAGGUAACAUUGGUUGGAAGAAAUAUUUUUUUUCUUAGAUAAAUGUGUAUGCUCAUCAUUAUUUAUCACUGUGUCAUGCAUAUAAUGGAUCAUUGGACUUAAAUGAUAUAAAUUAUCUUCCAAUGUACUAGAACAAAUAAGUCUCUUAUUAUGAAAAAUAGAAACAGAGGAUCCAAAAUUUACAGUGUACCAUUGCUUUGACAAACAAGCUAAUGAAAUUAAAUUCCUCUUAAUGUCUGGAACAUAAAGACAAUUAUUCAAAACUAAAGUCUCAUUAUUAAAAGAUAAUAAAACAGAUCUAGUCUUCACUGCUGACACGAACUGUCCUGUCCCUAACUGCAGCUUGACGCUUUCUUCACUUAUUUUCCUGGUUUCCUGAAACCAAUAAAGUGAAUUACAAAUAUGAUUAGUUGCUCCUGAAUCCAACACCCAAGUGUCAAUAGGAUUCUGAACUAAACAGGCCUCAAUUACAAAAAGAUUUCCCAUACCUGAUUUCACAAUCUUAGGGCAAUCCUUUUUCCAGUGACCUUUCUGUCCACACUUAAAGCAUUUGCCUUUCGGCUUGCCAUCUUGCUUGGUAGACGGUUUCUUUUUCCCAGCUUUCUUCUUACCUUUGCCUUUCGGCUUAGGCCCAGAAGAUGAACUUUUUUCAGUAAUAUUUAUGCUUCCCAGAGAUUUCUCAGCACGAUAGAUCUCUUCAGCAGAAUGGAGUUCGUUAAUCAAUUCAGUUAAGGUCAUGUUUCUUUUGUUCAUGUUAUAAUUGACCUUAAACUCCUUGAAUGUUUCUGGUAGAGAUUCUAGCACCAUGUCAAUCUUUGAGUUAUCAUCGAUUUGUGCUCCUUGAAUCUCAGCCUCAUUCAAAUAGUCCAUCAUUUUGAGGACAUGAUCAUGAACUCUUAUGCCCUUCCCCAUUUUACUGUUCAUAAUUCCUUUCAGCGCUGCUUGUCUUGCUGAGCGAGUACUCUGCCCGAACAUCUGUUGGAGACUAUCCAUUAUUUCAGUGGCAGUCUCCAAGUUCUGAUGUUUGCUCUGCAGAAUAUUAGAAAUCGAGGCUAAAAUGUAGCACUUUGCCAUUUCAUUGGCCUUUUGCCAUUUCUCAUAAAGCCUCCUCUAAUUUCUAUGAGCAUCAUCCGCUGGAACUGGAGGGCAUGGCUGGGUUAAGACAUAUUUAUAAUUUUCAGCAGUCAGGACAAUGAAUAGAUUUCUUUUCCAAUCUAUAUAGUUCUCCCCAGUGAGUUUGUUUUGACUCAGAAUAAUAGUAAGUGGGCUCAGGGAAGACAUUUUCUGAAAAAUAAAACAUCCAUGCAUAAAUAAUUUGAAAUAAUAUUCACAAUAAAUGACAAAAAAGCAUAAAACCAUAAAUGCAUUUUAAUUUAUUGUAACGAUAAUCUAGUUCCGCUUUGACAAGCUAUCCGGUGGGGAAGUCAUGUCUAUACUUACUAGACCCAAUUACCCAUUGGAUUAUUUACUUUCAUGUAGAGACAUGAUAAAUAAUUAUCGUUAUCUUUUUGGGCCUAAAUUUGUUAACAGAGCUUCGUUGGGAAGGUUAAUAACAAAUUUUAGUUGAGUGUAUAACCAUUAUUUCAAUCUAUGUAUUUUUCAUAUCAAUAGUCACCGUUGGGGUGAACAAUCGAUUGAAAAAUAUUUCAAUUUUAUCUUUGAAGAAGUUCAUCAAAUAAAAUAUCUAAUAUAUAUACCCUCCGAAGGGAGCAUCACCGUAUCAUGAAGUCGAGGUAUAUAUAUAAUUUUAUUAUUGAAGUAACAAUGGAGCCCGUGGAAAAAUUAUCUUGAAUUUUCCCUCUCCCACUCAAUAUUUUAAAAUUGGCUUUUCCUUUUUAAAACAUACAUAUUGUUAAUUGCAUGCUUCCUAUAAUAUUAUCUAGAUGAUAUCAAAUAUUAUUAAGCAUACAGAAAUUUCAAACAAUAUUAUGAAAUUCAUUAUUAAUGAAUGACAUGUAUCAUUAUGCAUAGAGUGGCACUACCUAUUCUAUAUGACAUUGUUAUCAUGGCAUGUAAUCAUCCAAAACAUAACAUAUAGAAAAAUAAUUAAAUAAUCUUAAUUCAUAGCUUUCCUAAUAAUGAAAAAUACAUUAACCCUAAGCCUAAUCUUCAUUGGGCUUCUUGUCAAUGUCCAUCUUUCAUAAUCUUGUCUUUGUUAAUUGGCUAGGGGAAAUUGGAUUUUUAAAUUUAUAAUUGGUCCAAUUUUAAUUUUUGGAAGGAAUAAAUAAAUAAUUAAAAUUUUUUACUAAAAUAAAUUUUUUGGACCAAAAAUAAAUUUAUUGUGUUCAAUUUUAUCCAUGCAUUUUAAUCCAUUAAGGCCAAAUAUCAAUUGGGCCUAAAACUAGGAUUCUUUAAGCCCAAAACUGUUUUUGGACUUACAUGCAAAAAAUUAAAACUUAUCAGCCCAAAGAGAAAAUCUAUAGAACUAUAGGGAUCGUAAUGAUAAAAAUCAUUAAAACCCUAAAUCCAUAUUUUUCUCUCCCCAGCCGCCAUCACCACAAAGGGCAGCCACUGUUCACAAUUUCCAGCCAUCUCUGACGUCGAGUUUGCUGCCGCCAUCGCACCGGAAACGUACCAAACACCUCCCUCGCGCUGCACGGAAAGCUCCUGCUCGCGCUGCCUGCUGCGUGUGCUGGCUGUUGCACGCGAGCGUGCGCUAGCUGCUGCACGCACAACGUGCAUUGCUGGCUGCGCGAGCAGCACGCGCUGGCUGCUGGCUUGCAGCGCGCGCUUGCUGGCAGCAUGUGCUGCUGGCCGCGCGCUGCUUGCUGUUGGUUGCCGCUGUCAAAAUUUUCGGCCUCCGUCGCUUUGAUCUUGAAAAUCCGAGAUUAAUUUACAAAUUUCCUAGGCCAAUUUUUGGCUUACAAAAAUUCUAUAACAGUAAAAUAAAUCAAGAGGGAAACAUGAUGAUAAAAAACUACCCCUCUUAUGUUCAGGAUAAGCUCAGAUCAGCAUCGGAUCCAUUUCCCAAUUUUUCUUCCCCAAAUUCUGUUUCUGUACACUGUAAGUAUUUUUCAUCCUCAUUUUCUUGUAUCCAUUUUGCGUUAUGUCACCAUUUAUUUUCAUCUCAACAUUUGGUUUAAAUUAGAUCACCGGAGGAAAUACGAUGGGAAGAACACAGUGUUAGAGAAAAAUCAGGUUUUUAAAUUUUUUAUAAAACCUUUUAAGGACCGCUCUCAUAUAAUGUAUAAGAAUUUGUAAUCUAGAAAUCGUACCUUGAAAAUCCGAUUUGCCUUUUUUUCCGUUGAAGUGAUUUAGGCUCCUAGAUCACGAUCCGCCACCACCACUCCUGUUAGAUCACGAACUGUCACCAAUGAUCUUCCAGGUUAUGACUCAGGUUCGAUCUGCACUUGACGUGUGGGCGCCUUUAUCACUACCAAAGCAACUAGCACGAGAAAUUUUUUCUCUCAACAAUAGAGAGAAAAAUCUUUUUCUCUGAUCUGUAUAAAGUAGCUUCUCUUCUUUCUUUAGAGAAAAAUAAGCCUUUUAUAUCACCCUUUAGUGAAAAUCCUAGGCUCCAAAUAAUGGCCAAAAUAAAACUCACGUUACUUUUCAUUUAAUAGGGGACCCACCAUGUAAAAUAACAUAAGGCCCUUUACACAUAAGCUUAUUAAAUGGAGCCUCCCACUAAAUGAUAUAUUUAGGCUUUUGACCCAAAUAGCUAGUUAUCUUGCUUAUUAGUCCAGUAAUGGUGCAGUCAAUUAAAUGAGCUAACCCGGGGAUCAUUUGGGAACAUACAAUAGUGGCUAUAACAAUUAGGCCUGUAAUUAAACUAGCCUAAUUAUUUAAUUCCAAAUCUACUCCACUAAAAGAUUGGAACUAACUUCCAUAAUUGUAUGCUCGAAUAAUAAUUCGUCCCAAGCCACAUUGAUUUCUUUACUGCACAAUCCUUUGUACCACAUCGUUAAUUAAAUUGAUAUCUCAACUGUCCAAUCAAUUUAAUAACAUCUUAUUCCUUGAUCCUUACUGGUUUUCUCUAAUGAUCAUUUUCAACAUACUAAAUAUGUUGACACACUCUGGCCAGAGAAUUCUAUGAUCAAGUGCCGAAAACCCAUCAAGAGAUGUGUUGUACAAAUUCUAUAUUGUUAAUCCAUAACUCCAAUACUCAUAAUUGCUCCCACCAAGAUACCGAGUAAUCUUGACCACAAGGAUGUGUCUUGCCCAUUGGUAACUCAAAUGGAAUAACAAUUACAAUCAUGAAAUCAUAAUUAACUCAAGAUUAAGAUUACAGUAAAAUCAAUGCCUAUGAGAUUUAAUAAGUCUGACAGUUAUUACAAAGUUAAUUAAAUCUCAUAUGUGAUCCUGUUCAAUGUAGUCGUACUAUAUCAACAAAUUCAUACAUGAUUAAGACAAAUCAUUCAAUGAAUUUAUUACAGUCUAUACCUAAAUAAAGUGCCCAACUUUAUUUAUCAACUGCGAACUAAAUUUAUUUAAUCAUAAGAUAACUUGUAUUUAUGUCUUCUGUGAAUCCACAUGGUGAUCACAUAAAUACAUAUAAUAUGAUUAAAUGGACUUUAAUACAAAUAUUAAUGCAAUUAAGAUAUUUGAAUAAAAUACCUCAUCUAUUUUAUUAAUCAAAAAAAUUAUUUAUUACAAUUAAAAAAACAUAUAUGCUUUUAAAGAGCAUAUUUUCCCAACACACAGAUCAUCUCAAAGAGCACCGUCUGUGCAGCAAUUCACAAGGAACCAAACCUUAGAAUCGAUUUAACUCUAUGGGAUCUUAAGCUCAUUCAAUUUGAUACCAUUGAGAAAGGACUUCUCUUCCGCAAACCUUCAGAGGAUAACACCGAUACCAGCAGCUUGAACUUGAUCCACCACCUCAAGACCUCCCUUUCACGUACGCUAGACUACUUUCCCCCACUUGCCGGUCGCCUAGCCACCAUCGAGCAUCGUGAUGACAGCAACACAAUUUCUGUUUACAUAAAUUGCAACAAUGCCGGCGCAGAGUUUGUGCACGCCAUGGCCGAUGGAGUCUCUGUUGCAGAUAUCAUUACACCUGUUUAUGUUCCUAAUGAAACUGUUUACUCUUUUUUCCCACUAAAUGGAGUAACAAACUGUCAGUGUAUCUCCGAGGCCAAGCCGUUGCUUGGGGUUCAAGUGACAGAGCUUGUGGACGGAAUCUUCAUCGCUUGCACUAUCAAUCAC
rnacentral:lncRNA from 1 species